GAUGAACGCUGGCGGCGUGCCUAAUACAUGCAAGUCGAGCGAACAGAUAAGGAGCUUGCUCCUUUGACGUUAGCGGCGGACGGGUGAGUAACACGUGGGUAACCUACCUAUCAGACUGGGAUAACUUAGGGAAACCGGAGCUAAUACAGGAUAACAUUUGGAACCGCAUGGUUCUAAAGUGAAAGAUGGUUUUGCUAUCACUUAUAGAUGGACCCGCCCCGUAUUAGCUAGUUGGUAAGGUAACGGCUUACCAAGGCGACGAUACGUAGCCGACCUGAUAGGGUGAUCGGCCACACCGGAAGUGAAACACGCACCAAACUCCUACGGGAGGCAGGAGUAGGGAAGCUACCGCAAAGGGCGAAAGCCUGACGGAUCAACGCCGCGAGAGUGAAGAAGGGUUGCGGCACGUAAAACACUGUUAUUAGGGAAGAAAAAAUGGGUAAGUAACUGUGCACGUCUUGACGGUACCUAAUCAGAAAGCCACGCCUAACUACGU
rnacentral:rRNA from 1 species